UAGAAAUAUCUUUUUGUUUAGUAUUCUUAUAGAAAUAUUUAUUUUAGUAAUAGCUUAUUAGUACUGUGAAGGAAUUAUUGAAAUAUUUUGAAAAUUUAUUUUGUAAAAAGUAUAUUUUAUUUAUAGUACCUUUUGUAUCAGGGUUGAUUUAAUUUUUUUAAAUUAUUUUAAUUUCUCGAUUUUAUAAGAGCUAAUAAAUUAUUAAGUUUAUUGUGAUAUAACUAUCUUCAAUAUUUUUUAGUGGAGAAAUUCUAUUCGUUUAUAAUGGUAUCUAGUUUUUUAAGAAAUAAAUUUAAUUUAUUUCCAAAAUUUACUUUUUUCUUUUUGAUAAUUUAUUUUUUGGGACAAAAUUGAUAGGGGAUAAGCUCUAUCUUUUACUAUAAUUUUUCUAAAACUGUAAAUUUAGUAGGACUAAAAUCAACCAUCUUUAAAAAUACGUUAUAGUAUAAUUUAUUUUGAUUUAAUUUUUUUCUUUUUUAGUUAUUUAUUAAAAUUACUUAUUUAAUUUUAUUUUAUUUUAAAUAAUGAUUAUAUUAGUAUAAUUUUGUUGUUUUGGGUUUAAAUAAACUUGAAAUUGUAAUUAAGGAACUCGGCAAAUUAAAUUUCCGCCUGUUUAUCAAAAACAUGUCCUAUUGUAUUCUUUAAUAGGUCUGGCCUGCCCAGUGAUAAUUUUAACGGCCGCGGUAUAUUGACCGUGCAAAGGUUGCAUAAUUUAUCAAAAACAUGUCCUAUUGUAUUCUUUAAUAGGUCUGGCCUGCCCAGUGAUAAUUUUAACGGCCGCGGUAUAUUGACCGUGCAAAGGUAGCAUAAUCAUUAGUCUUUUAAUAGAAGGCUGGAAUGAAAGGUUUAACGAGAAAUUAACUGUCUCAAUUACAUACUUGAAUUUAUCUUUUGAGUCAAAAGACUUAAAUAUAAUUGGUGGACGAGAAGACCCUAUAGAGCUUUACAAUUUUAUUUCUAUAUUUAUAUAGUAAUAUUAUUUAUUUAUAUUUAUAAAAUUGUUUUGUUGGGGUGACAAUAAAUAUAUAUUUAACUUUUAUCAUAAUAUAAACAUUAAUUUAUGAUUUUUGGAUCCAAAAAUUUUGAUCAAUAGAUUAAGUUACCUUAGGGAUAACAGCGUAAUCUUCCCUCAGAGUUCAUAUUUACGGGAAGGGUUGCGACCUCGAUGUUGGAUUAAGAUAAUAAUUAGGUGCAGUAGCUUAAUUAAUAGGUCUGUUCGACCUUUAAAUUCUUACAUGAUCUGAGUUCAGACCGGUUUAAGCCAGGUCGGUUUCUAUCCCCAAUUUAAUAUCAGUUAUUAGUACGAAAGGACCAUAAUUGAGAAAUAUUUUUUAUGUUUUUGAAAUUUAUUACUAUUUUGGCAGAAAAGUGCUAUGAAUUUAGAAUUCAUC
rnacentral:rRNA from 1 species